rnacentral:rRNA from 1 species
AAUCAACGCUGGCGGCGUGCCUAACACAUGCAAGUCGAACGCGAAAGUCCCGCAAGGGAUCAGUAGAGUGGCAAACGGGUGAGUAACACGUGGGUGACCUGCCUUCGAGCGGGGGGAUAACGUCCCGAAAGGGACGCUAAUACCGCAUAACAUCCUGCCUUUGAAGAGGUGGAGAUCAAAGCUGGGGAUCGCAAGACCCGGCACUUGAAGAGGGGCCCGCGCCUGAUUGGCAGUUGGUGAGGUAACGGCUCACCAAGGCAACGAUCAGUAUCCGGCCUGAGAGGGCGGACGGACACACUGGGACUGAGACACGGCCCAGACUCCUACGGGAGGCAGC